AUUGAACGCUGGCGGCAUGCCUUACACAUGCAAGUCGAACGGCAGCACGGGUGCUUGCACCUGGUGGCGAGUGGCGAACGGGUGAGUAAUACAUCGGAACAUGUCCUGUAGUGGGGGAUAGCCCGGCGAAAGCCGGAUUAAUACCGCAUACGAUCUACGGAUGAAAGCGGGGGACCUUCGGGCCUCGCGCUAUCGGGUUGGCCGAUGGCUGAUUAGCUAGUUGGUGGGGUAAAGGCCUACCAAGGCGACGAUCAGUAGCUGGUCUGAGAGGACGACCAGCCACACUGGGACUGAGACACGGCCCAGACUCCUACGGGAGGCAGCAGUGGGGAAUUUUGGACAAUGGGCGAAAGCCUGAUCCGGCAAUGCCGCGUGUGUGAAGAAGGCCUUCGGGUUGUAAAGCACUUUUGUCCGGAAAGAAAUCCUUGGCCCUAAUACGGUCGGGGGAUGACGGUACCGGAAGAAUAAGCACCGGCUAACUACGUG
rnacentral:rRNA from 1 species